rnacentral:rRNA from 1 species
UUUAACGGCCGCGGUAUUUUGACCGUGCAAAGGUAGCAUAAUCAUUAGUCUUUUAAUAGGGGGCUGGAAUGAAGGGUUUAACGAAUCAUUAGCUGUCUCAUUUUUAUAACUUAAAACUUAAUUUUUAAGUUAAAAAGCUUAAAUGGUAUUGAAGGACGAGAAGACCCUAUAGAGCUUUAUAUUAUAUUUUUUAAUGAAUUGUUGAUUUAUAUUUAUUUAUUAUAAUAAUUUAAUAUUUUGUUGGGGUGACAAAAAUAAAUAAUUAACUUUUUUAUUCUUUAAACAUAAAUUUAUGAACUUUUGAUCCAUUAUUAUUGAUUGUUAGAUUAAGUUACCUUAGGGAUAACAGCGUAAUCUUUUUUUGGAGUUCAAAUUUACAAAAAGGCUUGCGACCUCGAUGUUGGAUUAAGAUUAUAGUUUGGUGUAGUAGCUAAACUAAUAGGUCUGUUCGACCUUUAAAUUCUUACAUGAUCUGAGU